rnacentral:rRNA from 1 species
GUUACAAACUGAACCCUAGUCGAAGGUUCCUGGAAAGGACAACCAUAGAGGGUGACGGUCCCGUAGAUGAAAGGGGGAAGCUCCUUACCUGUACUUGAGUACCACGGGACACGAGGAAUCUUGUGGGAAUCUGCCCUGACCACAGGGCAAGGCUAAAUACCCUUGAUGACCGAUAGUGAACUAGUACCGUGAGGGAAAGGUGAAAAGUACCCCGGGAGGGGAGUGAAAUAGACCUGAAACCGUGUGCUUACAAGCAGUCAGAGCCUCAAGUAAUUGGGGUGAUGGCGUGCCUAUUGAAGAAUGAGCCGACGAGUUAAUCUAUGUAGCUGGUUAAGCAACUAUCGUUGCGCAGCCGAAGCGAAAGCAAGUCCUAAUAAGGCGAUUUAGUUGCAUAGAUUAGACCCGAAGCCGGGUGAGCUAUCCAUGGCCAGGGUGAAGCCUCGAUAAAAUCGAAGUGGAGGCCCGAACCGGUCAGCGUUGCAAAGCUGUCGGAUGAGCUGUGGAUAGAGGUGAAAUGCCAAUCGAACCCGGGGAUAGCUGGUUCUCCCCGAAAUGCAUUUAGGUGCAGCCUCAGGUGUUAGCUAAUGGAGGUAGGGCACUGGAUGGACUAGGUGAGAUAGUAUCUUGUCAACUCCAACCAAACCACGAAUGCCAUUAGCCAGAAUCUGGGAGUGAGACUAUGGGGGAUAAGCUCCGUAGUCGA